AUUGAACGCUGGCGGCAGGCCUAACACAUGCAAGUCGAACGAGUGGCGGACGGGUGAGUAAUGUCUGGGAAACUGCCCGAUGGAGGGGGAUAACUACUGGAAACGGUAGCUAAUACCGCAUACCAUCGGAUGUGCCCAGAUUGGAUGAGCUUGUAGGUGAGGUAACGGGUCACCUAGGCGACGAUCCCUCGCUGGUCUGAGAGGCUGACCAGCCACACUGGAACAGAGAGACGGUCAAGACUCCUACGGGAGGCAGCAGUGGGGAAUAUUGGACAAUGGGCGAAAGCCUGAUGGAGCCAUGCCGCGUGUAUGAAGAAGGCCUGCGGGUUGUAAAGUACUUUCAGCGGGGAGGCGGUACCCGCAGAAGAAGCACCGGCUAACUCCGUGCCAGCAGCCGCGGUAAUAC
rnacentral:rRNA from 1 species